rnacentral:rRNA from 1 species
CUGGUUGAUCCUGCCAGUAGUCAUAUGCUUGUCUCAAAGAUUAAGCCAUGCAUGUCUAAGUAUAAGCUGCUUAUACUGUGAAACUGCGAAUGGCUCAUUAAAUCAGUUAUAGUUUAUUUGAUGGUACCUUACUACUCGGAUAACCGUAGUAAACCUAGAGCUAAUACGUGCGUAAAUCCCGACUUCUGGAAGGGACGUAUUUAUUAGAUAAAAGACCGACCGGCUUCGGCCGACCCUCGGUGAAUCAUGAUAACUUCACGAAUCGCAUGGCCUCGUGCCGGCGAUGUUUCAUUCAAAUUUC